GUCAGCGACCCACCCCACUUGCCGGUGGGGCAAAUGCCCGGAUGCCCACGAAGAAUGCCCGGGAAACGGGGCUGUGGAAGGAGCCUUAGCACAUAAAAGUAGCUAACUGUGACAAAAUGGCGAGUCCUUUUGCUUUGGGUUUCUUGGGGGCAUCAGGGGCUCGCUGGGAGAGUCACCUUGGUCCUUCUUCCUCCCCACCCCUCACUUUUUCCUCUCUGUGGUCCUGCUUCUCUGCCCCUACCUGCUUUGCUCUGCUUCACUGCUUCCGCGAACCAGCUCAUUUCCGCGACGACCUUGUGCUCCGCCGCCUCCGCGACGGAGUGGGCGCCGCCGCAGCCAGCUGCCUCCACCGCGUUUCCCAGGCGCAGCUGCAGCCGCCUGCACCCAGCCGCGAAGUUUCUGCGCUGCCCGCCCCACCAACCCGCCAUAGCACUCAGGCUGUAGCCACCAGCCUGGCGUCACCGCCUGCACCCAGACAAGCCUGCAGCUGCCGGCUGCAGCCACCACGAGCCCGCAGCCGCCGCCGCCAGCCGCUCACAAGAGCCGCGCAGGGCGGCUGGCAGCCGCCGCCGCCGGGGACACGCUGCUGCCGCCGCCGACUGAAGAUUGCGCCCAAGCUCUGACAAAAGCCGCGGGGUCUCGCCGCGCCUUGCGACACGCACGCUCCGCCUGCUGAGCUGGCGCUGACAGAGCACCGGUGGUAACGCCUGUGACAGAACACUGCCCCAUAAACUCUGGGAAAAGCUGUUCCACAUAUCCUAUUGAAAGCCCAGCUCACCUGACAGCAGCCACUGCACUGCUGAACACUCACCAGCUUCCUCAGAUCAGGACUCAGUGCCCAUAACUUUAUGGACAGCCCAUAACUUUAUGGACAGCUGAUGAGAGAGGUCAGGAUCAUGACACCAAACCAGCCUGCUGCCCACAGCUCCUGGAAUCCCAGAGAACUUUAUUCCUUUCCCCAGGAUACAAAUAACUUGGGAAGAUUUCUCUUGCUAACAUUGCUUUCAAGGCUUGGAGAAACAAUUUCCAGUAUCACUGCUCCAGCCAGAAACUGCUCACCACUCAGCCCCAAAGGUGCCCAUGGCUGAGCCGCUGUGGCAUGGUUACCUCUUUCCUCUCCACAUCAGCCUGGAUCUUGGCCUGUGUGACAGCAGCCUCACGGAAGGAGGAGCUGGCCUGCUUGGCCUGCUCAAUCAGAGUCUUCAGCUGCUGUGCUGUGCUGAGCAGGGAAUUGACCAUCUCCUCCAGGUAGAGCCAGCUCCGCUGCUCCGUCACCUCCAGCCCGUUCACCACCGAUGGCGACAUGGCUUUGGUGGGCGUCGGGGGAGGCACUGCCAGGGCAGGCAGAGACGUCAACACUGGACAUAAGGAACAAAAGAGAAUAUGCAGACAAUUAGGGUGUUUCAUUUCUGUGAAGUGGUGGUGGUUGUGGGGUGUUGGUUUUUGUGGUUUUUCUGUGGUGUUUGGUUUCUUUUUUAAAAUAUGGUUUGCAGAAUUUCCAGCCCAGGAAAGUGUUAAACAUUAAACUUCUUAAUUAAAGUUUUAAACUUCUGCAACAUCAAGUGCACAUCUGUGCAGAACAAGCCCAUGGGCACUCUCAAAUCCAUGGGACAAGAACACCUCCUCUUGACCUGGAUGACCCUGGGAAGAGUUUAACACCUCCCAGCACUGCUGUGGAGAAGCACCAUGAUGCAGUGAAAGCAGCAUUCCCAGGAACUCCUUCACCACUGCCAACACUUCCCUCAGCCAGGCUAGGUAAGGUCAGAGUAAGUCACUCAGAGACAUUCUGAUGGCCCCGCCCAGAUGUCAAUUCUCAGGUUGCAAACCACAAAACUCAAGUACUGAUCCACAUCACACUCUCUGUGCUUCCUGAAUUCUGACCAUUACCUAACCCUGACCAGACACUGGACUUAACCCCAGACAGUCACCAUUACCUCCAAGUGAAUGUAUUCCAAACAUGGACUUCCCAAAACCAUGGGUUGGGAAGCCCUUUAAUAACCCAGCAGUUACUGUGUCACUGGACCAGCUACUUUUCACGUUAGGUUUGCAUGUACAUUGGGAGAUCAGGGUAUGACAAAAUUAAAUCCAGACCCAGGAACUCUACCAUACACAGUGUCAGCUCAGCUUAGGUAACAUUCCAGGAAGAAAUGUUAUCUGGCUUUACUUUUCCAAAAUGUAAUUCUAGCAAUAAAUACUCAC